UUAAUAGAAGCUAAUAAAGCUUCUUAUUGUUAUUAAGAAAAUUGAAUAUUUUUAUUCCUAUUAAG
rnacentral:tRNA from 1 species